rnacentral:rRNA from 1 species
UACAGAGGUCUCAAGCGUUGUUCGGAUUCAUUGGGCGUAAAGGGUGCGUAGGCGGCGCGGUAAGUCGGGUGUGAAAUCUCGGGGCUUAACCUGGGAACUGCGUUUGAUACGGAUGGGCUAGAGUUCGGGGAGAGGAGAGUGGAAUUCCCAGUGUAGAGGUGAAAUUCGUAGAUAUUGGGAAGAACACCGGUGGCGAAGGCGGCUAUCUGGACCGACAUUGACGCUGAGGCGCGAAAGCGUGGGGAGCAAACGGG